CCUCUGUAACCAUAUUCUGCACUGUAUAUAUGAACCCAAAGAAGCUUCUCUCCAAAUCUCUUUCGGCUUUCAUAUUUUUUUACUCUUUGUAAGCCUCUCUACAGUCAUGAUGAAUUCUCAACUGUUUCUGUCUGAGCUCCACAGGAAUUGAGUUUACUUAGCUGAGAAAAAGAGGAAUCGAGUUUCUUAAGUUUGAUGGAAAGCUGGCUCCGAAGGCGAGUCUUACAGGAGUUCAAUGAAACCAAACAGAAAACAGUUCUGCUUACAUCUCUGAAAGCUGGAGGAGUCGGUCUGGAUCUGACCGCAGCUUCAAACGUCGUCUUCAAGCUUGCGGUUAAAUUCUAAUCCAUUAUGAAGAAAUGGCGAUGCUUAAAAACCGAAAAUAGGUUCGCUUAACAAGGAAAGAGAAACAUGGUUGAUGACCUGAUUCUAGACAGCUUAUCAAUACUGUUGUUCUUUUUAUUUGUUGGUAAUUGUUUCGUACUUCACUGAGACAUGUUUUCUGUUCCAGCUAGAGCAUUUGGAGAAAGAAACAUUGAAAUGGUGCAGAGAAAUCACAUGGAACAGUUCUACUGCAAUUUGUGUGCUGAAUACAGGAUUGCACUCAGUGAUGGGAAUGGCAGACUUCAAGGGCUAGGACGCCAAGAAUGAGACAGUCUUAUACUAUGGAACCGAAGAAGCUACUGAAGAAUGUCUUACUUCAGGGGCUUGGAGACGAUGCCACACUCUUAUUCUAUGUUAAGGUGUCUUGCUGCUUUUCCAUUGGGAGCAGUCCCUGUCACUGCAGAAGAAGAGCCACCACCAGAUCUUUCCUGUUGUGGCUCUGAUGGUGCUGCCAAAAAUCUGUCUGUCUGUGUGUAAGUAUCUGCUGCUGAGACUGGAACUUCUUGAAAUUUAAGCAAUUGUAAGACGUCAGUAAUGAUGCUGCAGGCUCUUUCCAUUGGGAUGAUGUUUCAGUAACAGAAUCAGGUUGAGAAUGAGAUGAGUCAUCAUUUAACUCCGACCAGUUUGCUGCUGAUCUGUGUAAGAUGAUGGGAAAACACUAAGGGGUCUCCAUCCAUCGUUGUUGCUGCAGUAGGAGGCCAAGUACUAGAAAGAAAGUUGCGGUCUAUGGAUGGACUGUCAUAAAACAGCGCCGGACCAUUCAUUGAUGGGGUCCUCAGCAAGUCUUUUCGGGGUCCUCGACAUGAGCUGAACAGCUUCCAUCUCCUGUCUUUGAGUCACUUGCCUGAUGUUUUUUUUUCUGGUGAACAAUGGGAGCUGCAGAUACGAACUGGUAGCCUUUGGAAGAGAAAUUCAAAUUCGCAGGGACAGUACCAUUGGAAAAGAGGUAAACUACAUGGAAACGUUUUGUGGCUGCAUAGGAGUAGUCAUGAUCUGGCCAUGUAGCCCUCCUUUAUGAGUGUGCUACUCCUUGAAACUGGAUUAUCUCCUUCAGUUUUGGCUUUAGACUUUUGAGAUUGUUGAUCGUGUACCUGAAUAUUAGCUUGGCUUGAGAUGCUUUUCACAUUAACUUGCCGUUGCAGUUGCAUAUGCGGUUGGGGAGCAACUUGAUGAUGCAUUUGUCUCUCUUAAACAUUAUUCAUGCAAACUCUAUAAAACUUUGAUUUUUUUUUUAGUUA